AGCAAACAGGAUUAGAUACCCUGGUAGUCCACGCUGUAAACGAUGAGUACUAGGUGUCGGGGGUUACCCCCUUCGGUGCCGCAGCUAACGCAUUAAGUACUCCGCCUGGGAAGUACGCUCGCAAGAGUGAAACUCAAAGGAAUUGACGGGGACCCGAACAAGUAGCGGAGCAUGUGGUUUAAUUCGAAGCAACGCGAAGAACCUUACCUAAGCUUGACAUCCCAAUGACAUCUCCUUAAUCGGAGAGUUCCUU
rnacentral:rRNA from 1 species